UAACAAGGUUUCCGUAGGUGAACCUGCGGAAGGAUCAUUACCGAGUGUAGGGUUCCUAGCGAGCCCAACCUCCCACCCGUGUUUACUGUAACCUUAGUUGCUUCGGCGGGCCCGCCGUUUACGGCCGCCGGGGGGCAUCAGCCCCCGGGCCCGCGCCCGCCGGAGACACCACGAACUCUGUCUGAUCUAGUGAAGUCUGAGUUGAUUGUAUCGCAAUCAGUUAAAACUUUCAACAAUGGAUCUCUUGGUUCCGGCAUCGAUGAAGAACGCAGCGAAAUGCGAUAACUAGUGUGAAUUGCAGAAUUCCGUGAAUCAUCGAGUCUUUGAACGCACAUUGCGCCCCCUGGUAUUCCGGGGGGCAUGCCUGUCCGAGCGUCAUUGCUGCCCAUCAAGCACGGCUUGUGUGUUGGGUCGUCGUCCCCUCUUCGGGGGGGACGGGCCCCAAAGGCAGCGGCGGCACCGCGUCCGAUCCUCGAGCGUAUGGGGCUUUGUCACCCGCUCUGUAGGCCCGGCCGGCGCUUGCCGAACGCAAAACAACCAUUUUUUCCAGGUUGACCUCGGAUCAGGUAGGGAUACCCGCUGAACCUAAGCAUAUC
rnacentral:misc_RNA from 1 species